UACGAAGGGGGCUAGCGUUGCUCGGAAUCACUGGGCGUAAAGCGCACGUAGGCGGAUUGCUAAGUCAGGGGUGAAAUCCUGGAGCUCAACUCCAGAACUGCCUUUGAUACUGGCGGUCUCGAGUCCGGGAGAGGUGAGUGGAACUGCGAGUGUAGAGGUGAAAUUCGUAGAUAUUCGGAAGAACACCAGUGGCGAAGGCGGCUCACUGGUCCGGUACUGACGCUGAUGUGCGAAAGCGUGGGGAGCAAACAGG
rnacentral:rRNA from 1 species